rnacentral:tRNA from 1 species
UGCAGGGUGGAGUAAGGGUGGAGCAUUGCCGCCUGACGAUUGGUUGACCCGGGUUCGAAUCCCGCUCCCGCUG